GACGUAGGGGGCGAGCGUUGUCCGGAUUCAUUGGGCGUAAAGAGCGCGCAGGCGGCUUGGUAAGUCGGAUGUGAAAUCCCGAGGCUCAACCUCGGGUCUGCAUCCGAUACUGCCCGGCUAGAGGUAGGUAGGGGAGAUCGGAAUUCCUGGUGUAGCGGUGAAAUGCGCAGAUAUCAGGAGGAACACCGGUGGCGAAGGCGGAUCUCUGGGCCUUCCCUGACGCUCAGGCGCGAAAGCUAGGGGAGCGAACUGG
rnacentral:rRNA from 1 species